AUUGAACGCUGGCGGCAUGCCUUACACAUGCAAGUCGAACGGUAACAGGUCUUCGGAUGCUGACGAGUGGCGAACGGGUGAGUAAUACAUCGGAACGUGCCCGAUCGUGGGGGAUAACGCAGCGAAAGCUGUGCUAAUACCGCAUACGAUCUACGGAUGAAAGCGGGGGACUCGCAAGACCUCGCGCGGACGGAGCGGCCGAUGGCAGAUUAGGUAGUUGGUGGGAUAAAAGCUUACCAAGCCGACGAUCUGUAGCUGGUCUGAGAGGACGACCAGCCACACUGGGACUGAGACACGGCCCAGACUCCUACGGGGGGCAGCAGUGGGGGAUCUUGCACAAUGGGCGAAAGCCUGAUGCAGCGACGCCGCGUGAGCGAAGAAGGCCUUCGGGUUGUAAAGCUCUGUCUGGAGGGACGAACAAAAUGACGGUACCUCCGGAGGAAGCCACGGCUAACUACGUG
rnacentral:rRNA from 1 species